AGCAGCCGCGGUAAUUCCAGCUCCAAUAGCGUAUAUUAAAGUUGUUGCAGUUAAAAAGCUCGUAGUUGAAUUUCGGGAUCAAGGGAUCGGUCAUGCCUUGGUAUGUACUGGUCUUAUUGGUUCUCACCUUCUAAAGAACCAUGAUGUCAUUUAUUUGAUGUUAUGGGGAAUUAGGACUGUUACCUUGAAAAAAUUAGAGUGUUUAAAGCAAGCUUACGCUUGAAUACAUUAGCAUGGAAUAAUGAAAUAGGACAUCAGAUUCUAUUUUGUUGGUUUCUAGGAUCGAUGUAAUGAUUAAUAGGGAUAGUUGGGGGCAUUAGUAUUCAAUUGUCAGAGGUGAAAUUCUUGGAUUUAUUGAAGACUAACUACUGCGAAAGCAUUUGCCAAGGAUGUUUUCAUUAAUCAAGAACGAAAGUUAGGGGAUCGAAGACGAUCAGAUACCGUCGUAGUCUUAACCAUAAACUAAUGCCGACUAGGGAUCGGGUGAUGUUAAUUUUUUAAUG
rnacentral:rRNA from 1 species